UCCCUCUCCCUCCUUUCCAUUCUCUCUCUCCUUCUUUCUUUCCGAAUCCCUCUCCCUCAUUGGCUAUGUUGUGUCAAUAUGGGCAAGGAAUCAAAUGACAUGGUUGCAUACCAGAUCAUACUAUAUGGUAAUCAGUUUGGAUUUUGAUAAUGAUACAAUAAAUUUGGGAGUCAAGGAUUCAAUUCCUAUGGGAUGGGGCCAUUGUGGUUGUUUCCAUGGAAUGAGAUGCUUUGCAUCUUGAAACUCGAGAUUGUAGAUGUUCCAUCCAUUCUGGUUCCUACACA
rnacentral:lncRNA from 1 species